rnacentral:lncRNA from 1 species
AAGGGCAAGGGCAUGUAUCUCAUUCCAUAAACUCCUCUGAGAUGAAGGUAAGCCCAUGAGGCCAGGGGUUAAAAAGACCCAGACCAGGCUGGAACUAAUAAUGUGGAGGAAUACGUGAACAACAGGAUCCUGGUGGCUCUUCGGGAGAGGUCAAGAUGGUUUGCUGGUGAUGGACAAUGUUUGUUAUUACAUUGGUGCCCGGCGUGAGGGGCUGUGCCGAGACAAGCCCCAUCCCUAAACCUACUAAUAGCUCGGAGGGAUAAUCUGUCCUGGCCUGUCAAGCCUGGCGCUGCCCAUCGGUUCCUUCAGCAUGGUUGACAAAGUGCUUUAUUUAUGCACCAUGACCAACACGGGGACUGGUCAGUCCAUCGCUCACUCCAGCAGCACAAGCAGGAGAGUUCCUUCUGACAGAGGGAUUGAUGGCCUCCAGCUGGAGGUCUCCGCAAGCUGCAGGAUUGAUCUCCCUCUCCCAGAAAACAAGGUUUGUUGAUUGAACGGUGGUGCUUUUGCAAACGUUGUUCGCUGGGUCCCAGCCAUCUGUUAAUGCGUUCAAGGUUACCCGGGGGCUGACUCAUGCUCACGUCUCUCUCCUCAAAUCCUGCUCUUCCCCGUUUUAUACUUCCUUGGAAAGAGACGCGUGCCUUGGAACUUCUGGUCAAAACUGAGAAGCUGAAGAGUGCUCCCAUCCCGUCCGGUCACAUCCUGUCCUGUGCUGUCCGUUGCCAUCCCUGCUGCCCCAUGCCCACGAGCUGCAGUCCCACAGGGGCAUG